UCUUGGUUGAACUGGCUUUUCCUCUUCCCUGACUCUGUUUCGUCGUUCCCUCUUCCCAAGCGUCUCUUCCCCCCACUCUUUUCCACUUCCCGCUAUAGUUUCGACCUUCGGCUCUCUUUGGACUUGCCCUACUCUAUAAACUCUUAUUAAUCCCCUUAAUCUUUGUCCAUGUGGCAUGUGUUCCUUAACCCUUACCCGUGGGACCCAUCUAUCAAUCUUGGUUGAACUGGCUUCUCCUCUUCCCUGACUCUGUUUCGUCAUUCCCUCUUCCCAAGCGUCUCUUCCCCCCACUCUUUUCCACUUCCCGCUACAGUUUCGACUCUUCGGCUCUCUUUGGACUUGCCCUAAUUUUUAACUAUUUAUCUCUCUCUCUCUCUCUCUCUCUGCCUGCAGCUUCCUUACCAUGGCUUCCGAUGAUAGUUGCGCUUGC
rnacentral:lncRNA from 1 species